UGCAGUCGAACGGCAGCACGGAGCUCGCUCUGGUGGCGAGUGGCGAACGGGUGUGUAAUAUAUCGGAACGUACCCUAGAGUGGGGGAUAACGUAGCGAAAGUUACGCUAAUACCGCAUACGAUCUAAGGAUGAAAGUGGGGGAUCGCAAGACCUCAUGCUCGUGGAGCGGCCGAUAUCUGAUUAGCUAGUUGGUAGGGUAAAAGCCUACCAAGGCAUCGAUCAGUAGCUGGUCUGAGAGGACGACCAGCCACACUGGAACUGAGACACGGUCCAGACUCCUACGGGAGGCAGCAGUGGGGAAUUUUGGACAAUGGGCGAAAGCCUGAUCCAGCAAUGCCGCGUGAGUGAAGAAGGCCUUCGGGUUGUAAAGCUCUUUUGUCAGGGAAGAAACGGUGAAAGCUAAUAUCUUUUGCUAAUGACGGUACCUGAAGAAUAAGCACCGGCUAACUACGUGCCAGCAGCCGCGGUAAUACGUAGGGUGCAAGCGUUAAUCGGAAUUACUGGGCGUAAAGCGUGCGCAGGCGGUUUUGUAAGUCUGAUGUGAAAUCCCCGGGCUCAACCUGGGAAUUGC
rnacentral:rRNA from 1 species